UACGUAGGGUGCAAGCGUUGUCCGGAAUUAUUGGGCGUAAAGAGCUCGUAGGCGGUCUGUCGCGUCGGCUGUGAAAUCCCGGAGCUCAACUCCGGGCCUGCAGUCGAUACGGGCAGACUGGAGUUCGGCAGGGGAGACUGGAAUUCCUGGUGUAGCGGUGAAAUUCGUAGAUAUCGGGAGGAACACCGGUGGCGAAGGCGGCGAUCUGGGUCGAUACUGACGCUGAGGUGCGAAAGCGUGGGGAGCAAACAGG
rnacentral:rRNA from 1 species